CACAUUCAAGCUCUCCUACUCUCUCCCCCUAUUUUUUUUUCAAUAGUCUCUAAUCUCUUUUUACCCCUUUGAGGUAUAAUGUGAUUAGGCUUGAGGUAAAAAGUGGCUAGCCAGCUUGGGAAAAAAGAGAUCAACCCUUGGGAUAAAAUUAAGUUUUCUUCUUAUUACCCCAAAAACUUUUUACCGUGGGUAAAAAGACUCUUCUUGGGGUAUAAAAAGAAUAAAAUUUAGAUUUAGCCUAAGGGUUGAUGAUGUCUUUUCCCCCAAGAAGGUUGGUCACUAUUUACCCCAUGGCUGAUCACUUUUUACCCCUAGAGGGUAAAAAAAAAAAUAAGUAGAUUUAGUGAAUUCGAAUAAAUGUAUCAAUUAUUAUAUGAAUUAAUCUAUUAAUAAAAUGAGAUGUUGUUAUAUGUAUUA
rnacentral:lncRNA from 1 species